UUAAAUUGAAGAGUUUGAUCAUGGCUCAGAUUGAACGCUGGCGGCAGGCCUAACACAUGCAAGUCGAACGGUAACAGGAAGCAGCUUGCUGCUUCGCUGACGAGUGGCGGACGGGUGAGUAAUGUCUGGGAAACUGCCUGAUGGAGGGGGAUAACUACUGGAAACGGUAGCUAAUACCGCAUAAUGUCGCAAGACCAAAGAGGGGGACCUUCGGGCCUCUUGCCAUCGGAUGUGCCCAGAUGGGAUUAGCUUGUUGGUGGGGUAACGGCUCACCAAGGCGACGAUCCCUAGCUGGUCUGAGAGGAUGACCAGCCACACUGGAACUGAGACACGGUCCAGACUCCUACGGGAGGCAGCAGUGGGGAAUAUUGCAC
rnacentral:rRNA from 1 species